AGUCAAUAGAUACCCAGGUAGUCCAUGCCGUAAACGAUGAUUGCUAGGUGUGGGGGGUCUGACCCCUUCCGUGCCGGAGUUAAACACAAUAAGCAAUCCACCUGGGGAGUACGGCCGCAAGGUUGAAACUCAAAGGAAUUGACGGGGGCCCGCACAAGCAGUGGAGUAUGUGGUUUAAAUUCGAAGCAACGCGAAGAACCUUACCAGGUCUUGACAUCCACCGAAUCCUGUAGAGAUACGGGAGUGCCCUUCGGGGAACGGUGAGACAGGUGGUGCAUGGUUGUCGUCAGCUUGUGUCGUGAGAUGUUGGGUUAAGUCCCGCAACGAGCGCAACCCUUGUGAAUAGUUGCUACGAAAGAGCACUCUAUUCAGACCGCCGUUGACAAAACGGAGGAAGGUGGGGAUGACGUCAAAUCAUCAUGCCCCUUAUGACCUGGGCUACACACGUACUACAAUGGCCGUUAACAGAGGGAUGCAAUGCCGCGAGGUGGAGCGAACCCCUAAAAAACGGUCUCAGUUCAGAUUGCAGGCUGAAAACUCGCCUGC
rnacentral:rRNA from 1 species